CACAAUCAAACUAAGAAGAAUUUUGGUUGACGAGUGUUUUAAAGUUCUGCCUGGUGGGAAAAUCAGAUUGGAGACCCUUUCAUUAUACUCUCUCUUCCAUCUAAGUCAAGAACUGAAGUCAGAAUUGGUCCAAUAAGACCGGAAGCCACAUCUUUCGGAGUGUCUACAUGGGAGUGGUAAAUCCGUGUCACACAGUUACU